UCCCUGGUGGCUCAGAGGUUAAAGCGUCUGCCUCCAAUGCAGGAGACCUGGGUUCGAUUCCUGGGUUGGGAA
rnacentral:tRNA from 1 species